UACGAAGGGGACUAGCGUUGUUCGGAAUCACUGGGCGUAAAGCGCACGUAGGCGGAUGUGUCAGUCAGGGGUGAAAUCCCGGGGCUCAACCUCGGAACUGCCCUUGAUACAGCACGUCUCGAGUCCGGAAGAGGUGGGUGGAAUUCCUAGUGUAGAGGUGAAAUUCGUAGAUAUCUGGAGGAACACCGGUGGCGAAGGCGGCGUUCUGGACUGCAACUGACACUGAGGAACGAAAGCCAGGGGAGCAAACGGG
rnacentral:rRNA from 1 species